GCGACCCCAGGUCAGGCGGGAUUACCCGCUGAGUUUAA
rnacentral:rRNA from 278 species